GUUUAUAUAAUUUAAAUAAGAUAUUAGACUGUGACUCUGACUAUGAGAGUUAAAACCUCUUUAUAAACC
rnacentral:tRNA from 1 species